GACGGAGGAUGCAAGCGUUAUCCGGAAUGAUUGGGCGUAAAGCGUCCGCAGGUGGCAGUUCAAGUCUGCUGUCAAAGACCGGGGCUUAACUUCGGAAAGGCAGUGGAAACUGAACAGCUAGAGUAUGGUAGGGGCAGAGGGAAUUCAUGGUGUAGCAGUGAAAUGCGUAGAGAUCAUGAGGAAGACCAGUGGCGAAGGCGGGUCUCGUGGACAGUUCCUGACACUGAGACACGAAGGCCAGGGGAGCAAACGGG
rnacentral:rRNA from 1 species